UACAGAGGUCUCAAGCGUUGUUCGGAUUCAUUGGGCGUAAAGGGUGUGUAGGUGGCGCCGUAAGUCGGGUGUGAAAUUUCGGAGCUUAACUCCGAAACUGCAUUUGAUACUGCGGUGCUUGAGGACUGGAGAGGAGACUGGAAUUCAUGGUGUAGCAGUGAAAUGCGUAGAGAUCAUGAGGAAGACCAGUGGCGAAGGCGGGUCUCUGGACAGUUCCUGACGCUGAGGCGCGAAGGCCAGGGGAGCAAACGGG
rnacentral:rRNA from 1 species